UCCUCAGUAGCUUAGUGGUAGAGCGGUCGACUGUUAACUGACAGGUCGUAGGUUCAAAUCCUACUUGGGGAG